CACACCGCCCGCCACACCAUGGGAGUGGGUUGCUCCAGAAGUGGUUAGCCUAACCUUAGGAGGGGCGAUCACCACGGAGUGAUUCAUGACUGGGGUG
rnacentral:rRNA from 1 species